AUGCAAGUCGAGGGGCAGCAUUUUAGUUUGCUUGCAAACUAAAGAUGGCGACCGGCGCACGGGUGAGUAACACGUAUCCAACCUGCCGAUAACUCGGGGAUAGCCUUUCGAAAGAAAGAUUAAUAUCCGAUAGCAUAUUGAGAUCGCAUGAUUUUGAUAUUAAAGAAUUUCGGUUAUCGAUGGGGAUGCGUUCCAUUAGUUUGUUGGCGGGGUAACGGCCCACCAAGACUACGAUGGAUAGGGGUUCUGAGAGGAAGGUCCCCCACAUUGGAACUGAGACACGGUCCAAACUCCUACGGGAGGCAGCAGUGAGGAAUAUUGGUCAAUGGACGAGAGUCUGAACCAGCCAAGUAGCGUGAAGGAUGACUGCCCUAUGGGUUGUAAACUUCUUUUAUAUGGGAAUAAAGUUUUCCACGUGUGGAAUUUUGUAUGUACCAUAUGAAUAAGGAUCGGCUAACUCCGUGCCAGCAGCCGCGGUAAUACGGAGGAUCCGAGCGUUAUCCGGAUUUAUUGGGUUUAAAGGGAGCGUAGGUGGAUUGUUAAGUCAGUUGUGAAAGUUUGCGGCUCAACCGUAAAAUUGCAGUUGAAACUGGCAGUCUUGAGUACAGUAGAGGUGGGCGGAAUUCGUGGUGUAGCGGUGAAAUGCUUAGAUAUCACGAAGAACUCCGAUUGCGAAGGCAGCUCACUAGACUGCAACUGACACUGAUGCUCGAAA
rnacentral:rRNA from 1 species